CCAUAUCUCCCUGCAGUUCUUGCCUGGUUUCUCACUGACACUAAGCAGGGUUCAGCCUGGUCUGUACCUGGAUGGGAGACCUCCUGGGAAAAAUUAAGGUUG
rnacentral:rRNA from 1 species